rnacentral:tRNA from 5 species
GGUCCGUUGGUCAAGGGGUUAAGACACCGCCUUUUCACGGCGGUAACACGGGUUCGAAUCCCGUACGGACU